CCUACGGGUGGCAGCAGUGAGGAAUAUUGGUCAAUGGACGAGAGUCUGAACCAGCCAAGUAGCGUGAAGGAUGACUGCCCUAUGGGUUGUAAACUUCUUUUAUAUGGGAAUAAAACGUUCCACGUGUGGGAUUUUGUAUGUACCAUAUGAAUAAGGAUCGGCUAACUCCGUGCCAGCAGCCGCGGUAAUACGGAGGAUCCGAGCGUUAUCCGGAUUUAUUGGGUUUAAAGGGGGCGUAGGUGGAUUGUUAAGUCAGUUGUGAAAGUGUGCGGCUCAACCGUAAAAUUGCAGUUGAAACUGGCAGUCUUGAGUACAGUAGAGGUGGGCGGAAUUCGUGGUGUAGCGGUGAAAUGCUUAGAUAUCACGAAGAACUCCGAUUGCGAAGGCAGUUCACUGGACUGCAACUGACACUGAGGCUCGAAAGUGUGGGUAUCAAACAGGAUUAGAUACCCUAGUAGUC
rnacentral:rRNA from 1 species